rnacentral:rRNA from 1 species
UCGGGAAUUUUGGGCAAUGGGGGAAACCCUGACCCAGCAACGCCGCGUGAAGGAUGAAGUAUUUCGGUAUGUAAACUUCGGAAGAAUAGGAAGAAUAAAUGACGGUACUAUUUAUAAGGUCCGGCUAACUACGUGCCAGCAGCCGCGGUAAUACGUAGGGACCAAGCGUUGUUCGGAUUUACUGGGCGUAAAGGGCGCGUAGGCGGCAUGACAAGUCACUUGUGAAAUCUCUGGGCUUAACCCAGAACGGCCAAGUGAUACUGUCGCGCUAGAGUGCAGAAGGGGCAAUCGGAAUUCUUGGUGUAGCGGUGAAAUGCGUAGAUAUCAAGAGGAACACCUGAGGUGAAGACGGGUUGCUGGGCUGACACUGACGCUGAGGCGCGAAAGCCAGGGGAGCAAACGGGAUUAGAUACCCACGUAGUCCCUGAGCGGGCUGGCAAGGCGCAU